AGCCUGGCUAUUCUCUUAGCUUCUUCUGCAAAGCAUCAAGAUUCACCUUCACUGACUGCAGCAUUUAUUGGGCCCUGAUGGCUGGAGGAGAGGGGCUGGAGUGGGUGGUAGCCAUGAGUGACCCAAGUGGAAGUUCUCAGUGGUGCUCUGCUCCAGCACAAAGAAGAUUCACAGUUCCUGGGGACAACACUUAACAUCACAAUCUCCCUUAAAAUUAUCUACUGGAAAGCUGAGGAGUAGGCAGUGUAUUACUGUGAGAGA